UAGGAAAGUCAUAAAUAUAUAAAUUAUAUUAUAUAAUUAAUAUAAUAAUAAAAUAAAUUAUAUAUUUUAUUUAUAAUAUUAUUUCUUUAUAAGAUAAAAUAUUAUCUGAUGAAUAAUUAGAUUGAAUAAUAUUUAUAAAGAAAUAUAUAUAUAUAUAAAAAGUCAUUAUAUAAAUUUAAUUAUAAUUUAAAUAAAUUUUAUAUAAAUUAAUAUAAUAUUAAUAAAGUAAUUAGUAUAAAUAAAUAAUAUGAAAAUAAAACUUAAUAAAUAUAUAAAUAUAGUCCAUAUAUAUAUAUUAAUAAAAAAAAGUAAUAUAUAUAUAUAUAUUGGAAUAGUUAUAUUAUUAUACAGAAAUAUGCUUAA
rnacentral:misc_RNA from 1 species